rnacentral:rRNA from 1 species
CGAACGCUGGCGGCGUGCCUAACACAUGCAAGUCGAACGGUUCUGUUGGGGGCUUGCUCUCGACAGAGUAGUGGCAAACGGGUGAGUAACACGUGGGUAAUCUUCCUUCGAGUGAGGAAUAACCUCUCGAAAGGGGGGCUAAUACCGCAUAGGACCACCGGGGGCUUUGGCUCUGUGGUGAAAGGGGGCCUCUGUUUACAAGCUCCUGCUUCUGGAUGAGCCCGCGUCCCAUCAGCUAGUUGGUAGGGUAAUGGCCUACCAAGGCUACGACGGGUAGCUGGUCUAAGAGGAUGGCCAGCCACACUGGAACUGAGACACGGUCCAGACUCCUACGGGAGGCAGCAGUGGGGAAUCUUGCGCAAUGGGCGAAAGCCUGACGCAGCGACGCCGCGUGGGUGACGAAGGCCUUCGGGUUGUAAAGCUCUUUCGGCCGGGAAGAAAUCGCAUGGGCUAAUACCCUGUGCGGAUGACGGUACCGGCAUAAGAAGCACCGGCUAACUACGUG